GGUGGACAUGCAUUGUAUUCUCCCAUGAUAUUAAUUGUUAAAGCUCCCUCUUGAGUUUUUGACUACUAUUGUCUAAUAACUUAGGAAUCUAUAUGAUAGAAUAUAUUAUUUAUAUUAAUUAAUUAACUAUAUUACUGCUUCCCUGCUUAAAUAUUAUCCUUCCAAGCAGGUCAGUGCCUAAAAUUGUCUAGGUAAUUAAUAACUAUUGUUGCCUAAUAUAGAAUAGGACUACCAGAAUUGAGUUACCUUGUAGAUGAAAAAUUAUAAUUGAUUCUUGCUCUUUUAACAAGAGACAUCAACAAAAGAGUAAUUGGAGGUGCAAGGUAAAGAAAAGAGUGUACAAGAAAGAUAAGAAUAAAUAUUGUU
rnacentral:lncRNA from 1 species